UAAAAAAAGGUAAGCUACUAAGAGCGAAUGGUGGAUGCCUUGACUGGUAAAGGCGAUGAAGGACGUACUAGACUGCGAUAAGCUACGGGGAGCUGUCAAGAAGCUUUGAUCCGUAGAUUUCCGAAUGGGGCAACCCAAUGUAUAGAGAUAUACAUUACCUAUAUAGGAGCGAACGAGGGGAAUUGAAACAUCUUAGUACCCUCAGGAAAAGAAAUCAAUAGAGAUUGCGUCAGUAGCGGCGAGCGAAAGCGCAAGAGGGCAAACCCAGUGCUUGCACUGGGGGUUGUAGGACUGCAAUGUGCAAGAGGUAAGUUUAGCAGAACAUUCUGGAAAGUAUAACCAUAGAGGGUGAUAGUCCCGUAUGCGAAAAACAAACCUUAGCUAGCAGUAUCCUGAGUAGGGCGGGACACGAGGAAUCCUGUCUGAAUCCGGGUCGACCACGAUCCAACCCUAAAUACUAAUACCAGAUCGAUAGUGCACAAGUACCGUGAGGGAAAGGUGAAAAGAACUGAGGUGAUCAGAGUGAAAUAGAACCUGAAACCAUUUGCUUACAAUCAUUCAGAGCCCUAUGUAGCAAUACAGGGUGAUGGACUGCCUUUUGCAUAAUGAGCCUGCGAGUUGUGGUGUCUGGCAAGGUUAAGCAAACGCGAAGCCGUAGCGAAAGCGAGUCUGAAUAGGGCGCUUAGUCAGAUGCUGCAGACCCGAAACGAAGUGAUCUAUCCAUGAGCAAGUUGAAGCUAGUGUAAGAACUAGUGGAGGACUGAACCCAUAGGCGUUGAAAAGCCCCGGGAUGACUUGUGGAUAGGGGUGAAAGGCCAAUCAAACUUCGUGAUAGCUGGUUCUCUCCGAAAUAUAUUUAGGUAUAGCGUUGUGUCGUAAUAUAAGGGGGUAGAGCACUGAAUGGGCUAGGGCAUACACCAAUGUACCAAACCCUAUCAAACUCCGAAUACCUUAUAUGUAAUCACAGCAGUCAGGCGGCGAGUGAUAAAAUCCGUCGUCAAGAGGGAAACAACCCAGACUACCAGCUAAGGUCCCUAAAUCUUACUUAAGUGGAAAACGAUGUGAAGUUACUUAAACAACCAGGAGGUUGGCUUAGAAGCAGCCAUCCUUUAAAGAAAGCGUAAUAGCUCACUGGUCUAGUGAUUUUGCGCGGAAAAUAUAACGGGGCUAAAGUAAGUACCGAAGCUGUAGACUU
rnacentral:rRNA from 1 species